GACCAACCCGUCCGUGGAGGAUCAGGAAUCAGAAAGAUGGUUCAGGAAGCAGGGAUCCAUGGAAACCCUGAGCUGUCAUAGAACCACCAUCCAUCCCUCCGCUUCCCCGUUGGACCAGGUUCUGGUCCCUGAGGUCAAACGGUCCAUCACCUUCACAGAUCAGAACCACUCAUAGCUGGAGCUCAGCCCAGUUAACCCAUUUCAGCUUGCACAGCUCAGUUUACUGAAACUGAAAGUUCCCCUCACAUCGUCUGAGGUCAUGACGUUGGCUCUGCCAGACAGACGGGAAUAUCUGGAAACAUUAAAUAGAUUUGGAAGAAGACGGAUGAUGAAGCUUAGAAACAGAAAAGUGUGUUUUGGUUCAGAUUUCUCCUGCAGCUUCAGUCCUCAUCAUUUCUGCUCAUUCCCCUCACACACUCUGAGCUGCUCACAGGAAUGCUGGGUCACAUGAGUGGGCCGGACUGACCUACUUUCAACCAAUCGCAGGCCGCCUUUCCGCUCCCCCCCCUGCAGCCCAGUCACAUUGAAUCUCAUGUGCUUCAGAGCUGGAGCAAAACAACAAGGAGGAGAAGACAGGAGAGUGGAUUCAAGAAAAGACAGUUAACAGAUAGAAAAAUAAAACAUAAAUGAAAGAAUAAAAAGCACCAAAGAAAUGUAGAAGAAAGGAGGAAACAAGGAGGGAGGAGAAGAACAGGAUGGGAAGAAAAAGAUGAAUGUAAGAAACCAGAAAAGUGAAAGACAAAAGAAAUAUGAAAAACUAAGAGCAUAUAGAAAUAGAUAAGAUAGAAGGCGAAGCAAAGAGAGCAUCAUUUCAGCGCUAUCAUUU